rnacentral:tRNA from 1 species
GCCCUGGUAGCCCAAUGGUUAAGUGCUCAGCUGGUAACUGAAAAAUUGGUGGUUCGAACCCACCCAUGGCU